UUAUCAGUUUUCUUUUGUGAUUUUCUCCAAAAUCGGAUGAAAACAAUAACAAAAGUUAGCGCAGGAGAUAAAUAUAUAUGAUAAUGCAUUUGUGUGGUUGUAAUAGAGCUGGAGUGAGCGAGAGGGAGCAAACGACAAUCGGACAAAACCAAAGAAAUAAAUAAAAACAAAGUACCAAAAAGGAGGAAGACAGAUAGGAGAAAAGAAUAAUUUUGGGACUAAAAAGAAAUGAAAUUAAAAUUUGUAGUGUGAUUACAUGAAAGUGAGUGAAGAAAUCAGCUAAAAACGUUAAGUGGAAUUAGUAGUGGUUUAAAGUACGCAAUAUCUUUUAAAUAUAUAAUUGCAAAUACAGCAAUUAAAAAUACAAACGGACAUCGAAACAUAAAAAAAGAACAGAAAUAAGAGAAAAUUCGGUGAAAUAUUCAUAUACAGCAAGGGAAUCUCAAAGCAAAAACAAAGGAGGUGCAUAAAGUAAAUUGGCGACGACGCUUUCUUUCCUGUUAAAAUAAAUUACAAAACAAAGGCAUAACAACCUACAUACAUACAUACAUACAUACUAUAAGCAAUUCAGUUGCGCGAGACAACUUAUUUUGGAAUAAAGAAACGACUUGCUAUACAUAGCAACCGCGCGACGCCCCUGUUAGAUUCGCUGACGGACACUGUCCACUGUCGGUGCGUAAUCAUAAUAAUAUGCAAUAUAAAAUUUUCCGCU